rnacentral:rRNA from 1 species
CAGUAGCCGCGGGAACACGUAGGUGGCAAGCGUUGUCCGGAAUUAUUGGGCGUAAAGGGCUCGCAGGCGGUUUCCUAAGUCUGAUGUGAAAGCCCCCGGCUCAACCGGGGAGGGUCAUUGGAAACUGGGAAACUUGAGUGCAGAAGAGGAGAGUGGAAUUCCACGUGUAGCGGUGAAAUGCGUAGAGAUGUGGAGGAACACCAGUGGCGAAGGCGACUCUCUGGUCUGUAACUGACGCUGAGGAGCGAAAGCGUGGGGAGCGAACAGGAUUAGAUACCCCCGUAGUCCCUGUCUCUUAUAC